rnacentral:rRNA from 1 species
UCAGACGAUGCGUCAUGCAUAUCAAUAAGCGGAGGAAAAGAAACUAACAAGGAUUCCCCUAGUAACGGCGAGUGAAGCGGGAAGAGCUCAAAUUUGAAAUCUUAAAGGGUUUCCCUUUACGAAUUGUAGUUCAAAGAAGUGCUUUCUGUUGAGGUUUUGGUAAAAGUUCUUUGGAAUAGGACAUCAUAGAGGGUGAGAAUCCCGUAUUUGACCUUUACUUUCAACUUUGUGAUACACUUUCAAAGAGUCGGAUUGUUUGGGAAUGCAGUCCAAAAUGGGUGGUAAAUUUCAUCUAAAGCUAAAUAUUGGCGAGAGACCGAUAGCGAACAAGCUACCGUGAGGGAAAGAUGAAAAGAACUUUGAAAAGAGAGUUAAACAGUACGUGAAAUUGUCAAAAGGGAAGCGUUUGACACCAGUGUUGUUUUUCUGAAAAUCAAUUAAAGAACUGUUUAUGCUAAGUUGUUUAGACUUAAUCAGCUAUCUGUUUAGUUUUGAGCUUUUCUUUAAUGCACUUUUCAGUUAACAAGUCAACAUCAAUUUCUUUUGCUGUAAAAAAGCUUGAGGAAGGUGGCUUGAGAUUCGUCUUAAGUGUUUAUAGCCUCUUGCCUAUGCAGUCGGAGAGAUUGAGGUCUGCAGCGUAGAUCCUUCGGGGCUAAAUGCAUUUGUGCUAAGUUAUAGCAUUUUAUAGACAACUUGUUGACUAUGAUUUGUCUUGUAGCUUACUCGCUUAUGUUAUUUUACCUACGCUUAGGAUGUUGACACACGCGCGUGCUCG